rnacentral:rRNA from 1 species
AAAAAAUGAAANUUUUCACUAAAAAAUUUUACUUUU